UUGGUGUUGGAUAUCCCGGUUUAGGCAGAUGUAGGCGACAGGUAGGCAAAUCCGCCUGUCAUAUACCGAGGCUGCCGAUCGAGCGAGCUUGCUCGCGAAGUGAUUGAACGAGGUUCCAGGAAAGGCCACUAAGCUUCAGCUACACACGACCGUACCGCAAACCGACACUGGUGCGCGAGAUGAGUAUUCUAAGGCGCUUGAGAGAACUCGGGAGAAGGAACUCGGCAAAUUGACACCGUAACUUCGGAAGAAGGUGUGCCCUAUUAGUGUGAAGUGAACAACGGAGCAUGAAUGGGUUGCAAAAAAUCGGUGGCUGCGACUGUUUAUUAAAAACACAGCACUCUGCAAACACGAAAGUGGACGUAUAGGGUGUGACGCCUGCCCGGUGCUGGAAGAUUAAAUGAUGGGGUGCAAGCUCUUGAUUGAAGUCCCAGUAAACGGCGGCCGUAACAAUAACGGUCCUAAGGUAGCGAAAUUCCUUGUCGGGUAAGUUCCGACCUGCACGAAUGGCGUAACGAUGGCCACACUGUCUCCUCCCGAGACUCAGCGAAGUUGAAAUGUUUGUGAUGAUGCAAUCUCCCCGCGGAAAGACGGAAAGACCCCAUGAACCUUUACUGUAGCUUUGUAUUGGACUUUGAACAGAUCUGUGUAGGAUAGGUGGGAGGCUUUGAAGCAGGGUCGCUAGAUCUUGUGGAGCCAACGUUGAAAUACCACCCUGGUGUGUUUGAGGUUCUAACCUAGGUCCAUUAUCUGGAUCGGGGACAGUGCAUGGUAGGCAGUUUGACUGGGGCGGUCUCCUCCAAAAGCGUAACGGAGGAGUUCGAAGGUACGCUAGUUACGGUCGGACAUCGUGACGAUAGUGCAAUGGCAUAAGCGUGCUUAACUGCGAGACUGACAAGUCGAGCAGAUGCGAAAGCAGGACGUAGUGAUCCGGUGGUUCUGUAUGGAAGGGCCAUCGCUCAACGGAUAAAAGGUACUCUGGGGAUAACAGGCUGAUACCGCCCAAGAGUUCAUAUCGACGGCGGUGUUUGGCACCUCGAUGUCGGCUCAUCUCAUCCUGGGGCUGUAGCCGGUCCCAAGGGUAUGGCUGUUCGCCAUUUAAAGAGGUACGUGAGCUGGGUUUAAAACGUCGUGAGACAGUUUGGUCCCUAUCUUCCGUGGGCCCUGCAGAUUUGAGGAAGCCUGCUCCUAGUACGAGAGGACCGGAGUGGACGCACCUCUGGUGUAUCGGUUGUCACGCCAGUGGCAUUGCCGAGUAGCUAUGUGCGGAAGAGAUAACCGCUGAAAGCAUCUAAGCGGGAAACUCGUUCCAAGAUGAGAUCUGCCGGGGCCUUGAGCCCCCUAAAGAGUCGUUCAAGACCAGGACGUUGAUAGGUCGGGUGUGGAAGCGCAGUAAUGCGUUAAGCUAACCGAUACUAAUUGCUCGUGCGGCUUGACCC
rnacentral:rRNA from 1 species